CAAAUAAAUCCUUCAUCACAGCUGUUUUUAAUUCUUUAUCAGGUCACAGUAUACUGUGCCUUUGGGUUCAGUUGCUGGAGAAUUAGUUUUUCUCAUUGUGAUACCGUAUCACUGUGAUUUUUCAUAGUGCUUGGUAAAAUGUGCCCCUGCCAUUGAGUUUGAAGUAGCACACAUUUUUAUUAGUUGCUUACUUUGUUCAACACUGGCAAUUAGAAACCUUGCUUUUAUUCUCCAGAAGGUGGCACCAUAGCUCAAGUUUUCGGUUUCUCUACCUGAGCUGGCUCUGGGGCUGUGCUAGGGAGUGCCUGUGAAAAAGCUGGCAGCAGAGCGGGCAAGUGUGGGCUCAGCACCUGUGGUUGCCCACAGCCUGGCAAGGAGAUCCUCCACUGCGGGGAGCCCCCAGAGGGCCACGCAUGGACCUCCUGCUGAAAUAUGAGGCAGACAGAUGGCAGGGAGUGAGAUACUCCAGUGCCCUUUGUUCUUGUCUCCCUCUUUCCACUUCCACUAGUCAGGGAGGUUGCUCCUGAGGAAAUUGUGCUGCUGGAGAGAAAGAGGUUCCUCCAGCUGUGACCAGCCAGGCAGUCCCUUAGAGACCUCUGUGAGGGAGGUGGCUGCUGUCCCCGGCAGUGGACGCCCAGUGUGCUCCUGCUCUUUCUCUGCCUCCAAACUGGUCUCCGUCCCGCUCCCCACAGUGUGCCGGGUUCUCUGUCGGGCUGGCUGGACCUCCUGUCCACCCAGUGCUGCACCCCCAGUCUAGCUUCCCACCGCACCCACAGCGAGUGGGGCUGAGGCAGGCUCAGCAGCUCCCUUGGAUCUGCAGCCCUCUCCAAGGUCCAUCCAUUCCGUAGCGCUUAUCAGUAGAAAUCUUUUGGAUGUUCUGGUGUAAUGUACAGAGAUACUUUUGUUCAGUUAUCAGUGACCCAUUAGUUGUUCCUUUUUUUUCCCCUCUUUAAUUUAUAACUCACACUGCCAUCAUGCUGCCAUCACUUGCUCCUCUACCUUAUAUCUAUGCGUGUGAGUUGGGUAUAAUAUCAAUAAUUUAAAAUUUUCAUACCCGGAGACUGAGUGCUGGUCUUGAAAGCCUAAGUUGAAUGAAGUAAAAGGAAGAUUCCAAAUCAAACACAGUCUGUGUGUAAAGGAUUGCCCAGGGGCUGCAGUACACCCGGUGGGCUGGGAGAAUGUUCCUGGUUUUCAACAGAGGAAAUAGCCCCUUUUGAAGCUGUUCCUUUGCAUGCUGAAACAAGUAUCCUCAACGUGCUUGUGGGAUCUUAGUUCCUGGUCCAGGGAUCGAACUCGGGCCCUCGUCAGUGAAAGCGCAGAGACCUAACCAAGGACUGCCAGGCAGUUCCCUCAAGUGACAGUACAGUCAAAGGUGAUGUCGUUUCUCUAGUGCUUCAAUCAGCCUGGGAAGAGUCUGCUCGUCAUUGAUAUCCAAAAUUUCGCAGGAUGGCAAAGGUGGAAAACUCUGCAAAACCACUUCUGAAACCAGCAGUUCUGUAUUGAGUUAUUAAAAAUAAAAAGUUAGUUACACAGGAAAAAAAGUUACUCAAACAAGUUUUAACACUGUGAUAAGAUCCCCAGUCCAGUCAACAUUGUACCUUGUUGGGCUGUCAUAAUACUUCCUUAAAAAUGUGUUAUAAAGAAGAAAAAAUGAAAAAAAAGGUAUAUAAUAAAAGAAAUGUCACUUAUA